rnacentral:rRNA from 1 species
GUGCCAGCCGCCGCGGUAAUACCGGCAGUCCAAGUGAUGGCCGAUAUUAUUGGGCCUAAAGCGUCCGUAGCCUGCUGUGUAAGUCCAUUGGGAAAUCGACGCGCUCAACGCGUCGGCGUCCGGUGGAAACUGCACAGCUUGGGACCGGAAGGCUCGAAGGGUACGUUCGGGGUAGGAGUGAAAUCCUAUAAUCCCGCACGGACCACCGAUGACGAAAGCACUUCGAGAAAACGGAUCCGACAGUGAGGGACGAAAGCCAGGGUCUCCAACCGGAUUAGAAACCCCAGUAGUCC